GAAAUGCGAUAAGUAGUGUGAAUUGCAGAAUUUAGCGAAUCAUCGAAUCUUUGAACGCACAUUGCGCCCCUUGGUAUUCCAUGGGGCAUGCCUGUUCGAGCGUCAUUUCAACCCUCAAGCACUGCUUGGUGUUGGGCGUUUGUCCCGCCUACGCGCGUGGACUCGCCUCAAAGUCAUUGGCAGCUGUUCCCCUUGGGCUCGUAAGCGCAGCACAGUCGGCGCCCGGAGCUCUGGUGGGAUGGCGUCCAGCAAGCUAUAUUUUCAGGCUUGACCUCGGAUCAGGUAGGGAUACCCGCUGAACUUAAGC
rnacentral:misc_RNA from 1 species